rnacentral:rRNA from 1 species
GUAGGUCACGAGCGUUAUCCGGAAUUAUUGGGCGUAAAGAGUGAGCAGGCGGCUCGCUAAGUCCGAGGUGAAAGCGUGGGGCUCAACCCCAUACAGCCUUGGAAACUGGCGGGCUAGAGUGCGCGAGAGGUCAACGGAACUCCAUGUGUAGCGGUGAAAUGCGUAGAUAUAUGGAAGAACACCGGUGGCGAAGGCGGUUGGCCAGCGCUGCACUGACGCUCAGUCACGAAAGCGUGGGGAGCAAAUAGGAUUAGAUACCCUAGUAGUCCACGCCGUAAACGAUGACGACUAACUGUCCCUCCGUGGGGCGGUGAAGCCAACGCAUUAAGUCGUCCGCCUGGGAACU